CGUUAGAGCGAACUGGAGGGAAGGCUAACAGAACAGACUGAGAUAGUCAAAGUCCAGAAUCUUGACCACUGAACAGUUUCAAGCAGCGAGUCUGAAGUCCAUUAUGGUGACUGACUGAAGUGGAGUGGAAAUAGGGUGACUAGAAUUGAUGAGACCGAGCCUGAGAAACCACAGGCUUGUCUUGGUUCAGUUGCCUUUGGACAGAUCAGGAUAAUGAUUUUCACUAAAGGAAAAACCAAGAGUCACCUUAAAGGACUACAGUCAGGUAAAACAUGACAGGGUUGAGUCAUGAUUCAGCAGUCUCCGAAGCUUGAGGAGAGGCACCGGGCCGGUUGUGUGCUUUCUUCCCCUCACCUGGACAGCCACCUGCACCCCACCCCCCCGCCCCGGCAGGUGGGGGCAGCGGACAGUUGAAGCAGGUUAAGUGGCAGACUUGGCUGGAAGGGCAGAUGUUACAGCUCCAUCAGCCCAAGUUUGGGUGAGCUUUACAUUACAGAAUUAAGCCGUGACUUGUUCUCCUAGCUCUGCUUCAGAUCCAGCCAGUUUGAUUUGUGUACACAUAAAAAUGUAUACACAUACAUUUAAGGGAAAAAAAUAGGUUUCCCUGAUAAAACCUUAACAUAUAGAAAAAUCUUAUUAACUAUAGUGUGUGCCUUGUUUUUGCUCUCAGUACAUUACUCCUGUGAACUUCCCUGAGU
rnacentral:lncRNA from 1 species